GUUUGACCUCGGAUCAGGUAGGAAUACCCGCUGAACUUAAGCAUAUCAAU
rnacentral:rRNA from 2 species